rnacentral:rRNA from 1 species
AGUGAACGCUGGCGGUAGGCCUAACACAUGCAAGUCGAACGGCAGCACAGAGGAGCUUGCUCCUUGGGUGGCGAGUGGCGGACGGGUGAGGAAUACAUCGGAAUCUACUCUGUCGUGGGGGAUAACGCAGGGAAACUUACGCUAAUACCGCAUACGACCUACGGGUGAAAGCAGGGGAUCUUCGGACCUUGCGCGAUUGAAUGAGCCGAUGUCGGAUUAGCUAGUUGGCGGGGGAAAGGCCCACCAAGGCGACGAUCCGUAGCUGGUCUGAGAGGAUGAUCAGCCACACUGGAACUGAGACACGGUCCAGACUCCUACGGGAGGCAGCAGUGGGGAAUAUUGGACAAUGGGCGCAAGCCUGAUCCAGCCAUACCGCGUGGGUGAAGAAGGCCUUCGGGUUGUAAAGCCCUUUUGUUGGGAAAGAAAUCCAUCUGGUUAAUACCCGGGUGGGAUGACGGUACCCAAAGAAUAAGCACCGGCUAACUUCGUACCAGCCGCCGCGGUAA